UCGUCAUUUCCAUGCAGCUCCUCUUCGGGAAAUUUUGUCCCAAGAGCCUGUCUCUGUUGUAUCUCUUGCUGUUUUCUUAAUUCCUCUUCCUUCUGCUGUCUUUUUCUAUAGACCCCCCAUGCUGUAAUUGUGUUAACCCCCAUUUUUAUUGGAAAAUGUUUCGGGUCAACCUUGCUUGUGGAGUUUGGUAUCCUCCUCUUCUUUUGAAAAAAAAUUUCCUCAAGGAAGCCCACCACACAAACUACUCAAAGCUUUUGGGCCUGGCUGAGCUUUUAGGGUGUGACUACUUCAGGAAGUCAAAGAUACCUGGAGAAAGAAGGACAUGUAUUUAAUCAGUUCUUGGGCUUUGUCCCUAUUCCUGAUGGCAAAGCAGACACUAUUGUCAGCCAUCAAGAACGUAAUGAAGAAGGCUAUCCCAACUAAGAAACUGUAUGGACUGGGAACUGAUGGGGCAGCUGUUAUUAUGACGGAAACAGUGCAAAUCGAACUGCAACACUUAAGGCAGCAUCCGCCACCCUGGGUGUGAGUGACUUGAAAAUUAAGGAAGUGAAGGACACACGCUGGCUUUCUCAGCACAGGGCCAUUGAAACCCUACAGAGAAAUCUCAACUCAGUCCUUGGAGCCUUGGCAGAGAUGAGAAGAUGUCCAGGAGCAAAAGGACUCUACACAUUUUGUGCUUCAUACAGAUUUGUAGCAGCUGUUUGCCUCCACGCUGAUGUAUUGCCACACCUUGCACACCUGUCCAAAAAUUAAAUGUCAACUUUCUCCAUAUUAAGGAGCAAGAAAGUUAAAUAUUAUACUGUAUCUGCUUGAAGUGAAUUAUAUACAUUAAAAUGUCUUUAGUUUGCAUGUCUGACUAAUACUACACUGCAGCUAUCCUUUUUUAUUCAGGUUCCGGUCAAAGUACAAUUCAAAGUCUGAGGAGCAUCAAAGAGACUGCACAGAUGCCGCUUCCUGGAUCAUUCUUGUCCCAACUUCAACAGGACCUUGAUGAUCCCCAAAGACUUGAAGCCUUCAACAUAAAGCAUGAGGAGGAGAGGAACAGGAGAGGGCAAGACAUAAAAGAAAUGCAGAGGGAGGAGCAAUGGGCAAGAUUCCAGCGAGAUUGGCCUGGAAAAACACCUUCACAGAAGGACAUUCUUGGGGCUUUUAGUGUCUUGGAACCACAAUCGGCUGUCCCACAAGAUAACAGAGACAUUGCUAAUCUGCAGAUUCUGGCCAGGAAAUUAUUCCCUCAACAUGAGAAGGAGGUCCUGCAAGAAUGGCUCUCAUUUAAGAAUCAUGCUCUCAUUGGGGCAUGCAUUUAAGAACAAGACCCAGGAGGAGCUUUUGAGUCUGCUGGCAAGCAAGUUUGACGAGUGGGCCAACCUUUACCCCUUCCUGAGCCUUCUUGCAAGCAUUGCCCUUGUUAUCCCCAUUUCCAGUGUUCACUGUGAACGUGAUUUCUCGACCAUGAACAGGGUGAAAACAUCAGCUUCAAGGAGAACACCUCUCUGCUUGUCUAAGGAUCUCCAUAAAUGGACCUCAAACAGAGGACUUUCCAUAUGAGAGGGCAUUAGAAUAUUUUUUCAGAAAGCCCCGUAAAAUAGCAUGUGCAAACAAAGGUUGCAAAAUGUGCCAUAAAGAAUAAUCAAGUUAAUAAUAAAGUUUUCAGUUUGAAUAUUGGAGCAUAUUUUUGCAUUGUUUCAUUACCACCGUUGCUCCGGUGCACCCACUAAACAUAAAAAAACUGCCCCGCUAUAUACCUCCCCCCACCCUGGGGCCUACCACCAAUAAUAGAUUGUAAAUCUGUGGGAAACACUGUACAGCCCUUUACUCAUAAAACCUUUAAAAGGUAACGUUACCACAUUUAUUUAUUCAUCUUUUAUGUUGUGCACACCACAGUUCUGUAUGUGGAAAAUUAAUUCAUAUUUAUGUGUUUUCUCGUUGUUUAGCACAAACGUUUCACGUGAGAGUUUGAAUUUCUCUCGGUGAGGACUGACGGACGGCCCUUAUAGGGUGGCCAUUCGUGCCAGUUCCGCCGGACACGUCCCGAACAUGUUUUCGGGUUCGUUCUCCGGAAGUCGCGUUGCUCGACCGCA